rnacentral:rRNA from 1 species
GACGAACGCUGGCGGCGUGCUUAACACAUGCAAGUCGAACGAUGAAGCCGGAGCUUGCUCUGGUGAAUUAGUGGCGAACGGGUGAGUAACACGUGAGUAACCUGCCCUUGACUCUGGGAUAACUGCUAGAAAUGGUAGCUAAUACCGGAUACGACCCUCGGAGGCAUCUCCAGGGGGUGGAAAGAAUUUCGGUCAAGGAUGGACUCGCGGCCUAUCAGCUAGUUGGUGAGGUAACGGCUCACCAAGGCGACGACGGGUAGCCGGCCUGAGAGGGUGACCGGCCACACUGGGACUGAGACACGGCCCAGACUCCUACGGGAGGCAGCAGUGGGGAAUAUUGCACAAUGGGCGCAAGCCUGAUGCAGCAACGCCGCGUGAGGGAUGACGGCCUUCGGGUUGUAAACCUCUUUCAGCACCGACGAAGCGCAAGUGACGGUAGGUGCGGAAGAAGGACCGGCCAACUACGUGCCAGCCGCCGCAGUAA